rnacentral:rRNA from 1 species
CGAGCGGAGUUGAUGGGAAGCUUGCUUCCUUGAUGCUUAGCGGCGGACGGGUGAGUAACACGUAGGCAACCUGCCCUCAAGUUUGGGACAACUACCGGAAACGGUAGCUAAUACCGAAUAGUUGUUUUCUUCGCCUGAAGGAAACUGGAAAGACGGAGCAAUCUGUCACUUGGGGAUGGGCCUGCGGCGCAUUAGCUAGUUGGUGGGGUAACGGCUCACCAAGGCGACGAUGCGUAGCCGACCUGAGAGGGUGAUCGGCCACACUGGGACUGAGACACGGCCCAGACUCCUACGGGAGGCAGCAGUAGGGAAUCUUCCGCAAUGGGCGAAAGCCUGACGGAGCAAUGCCGCGUGAGUGAUGAAGGUUUUCGGAUCGUAAAGCUCUGUUGCCAGGGAAGAACGCUUGGGAGAGUAACUGCUCUCAAGGUGACGGUACCUGAGAAGAAAGCCCCGGCUAACUACGUGCCAGCAGCCGCGGUAAUACGUAGGGGGCAAGCGUUGUCCGGAAUUAUUGGGCGUAAAGCGCGCGCAGGCGGUCAUUUAAGUCUGGUGUUUAAUCCCGGGGCUCAACCCCGGA